CUCUCUUUCUGUAUCUAUCUGUUUCUCUUCUCUCUCCAUCUCUCCCUCUCUUUCUGUAUCUAUCUCUGUUUCUCUUCUCUCUCUCUCUCCAUCUCUCCCUCUCUUUCUGUAUCUAUCUCUGUUUCUCUUCUCUCUCUCCAUCUCUCCCUCUCUUUCUGUAUCUAUCUCUGUUUCUCUUCUCUCUCUCCAUCUCUCCCUCUCUUUCUGUAUCUAUCUCUGUUUCUCUUCUCUCUCUCUCUCCAUCUCUCCCUCUCUUUCUGUAUCUCUCUCCAUCUCUCCCUCUCUUUGUGUAUCUAUCUCUGUUUCUCUUCUCUCUCUCCUACUUACUGCAAUUACAGCUUUGGAGCCAAAACUAUAAUAACAGCAUAAUGGGAUGAGGAAGCUGCAAUAAAAGCCUCCGCUGACAGAUUAACAGUCCCGGACUUCUGAACUGUAAUUAACAAUGAAACUGGCAAGAAGAGGGAGAGAGAAAGACCGAGACAUGGUGGGACUGGAUAACUGGGCUACUCAUUUCUUAUAACUGAAUGAAAAUGAAAAGAUUUCAGGAAGUACUAGGAGUGGGACAAAUGGGUUACAUUUAUGUAGGACACACACUUAGGAGACAUGUCACAGUUAUGGAAAUAACUAAAGGGGAAGACAAAUGAAACCAUGUCAGUCAAAUAUGACAAGCCAAGGAUUUAGCAAACUCCAUCUAUCUCUUUUUUGCUUUUCAAUAGUGACUGGGUAUGAAACGGUGGUUUGAUAUGUUUGAACAGGAUACUUACCUGGGGAUAGAAGGGAGGCCUGUGCAAACAUUUUUGUGGUGGGGAGAAUCUCCAGAAAUAUUUCUUCCUGUGUGUGUACAUGUGUGUGCUGAAUUGAUGAGGGAGAUGUCUAAUAACACACACCCAUCACUUUGGUGGCACCCCACCCACUAGCUCUCACAUGCGACCUCUCUCUCCCUCUGUUUCUCACACACACACACAUUGCAUUGCACACUGAAGUUAGUGUCCCACAGCUCUGGAUAAUAUUUUUAUUGCCAAGGAAUGAAAGAGUGGCAUCAGACCUUUUCGCUAUAGUGGAACGUUUUUCCCUCUGAUAUCUGUAUAAAAAGAAUCAAGAGGAGGAUUCAUUUUCUAAGGAUGGGAUUGUACCAAAGCUUACCUUAAACUCUAUAAUAUAUUUACACUUUUCUGGAGGAGUUGUCUAUCGGGAAUGCAAAUACCUCUUUCAUAGAGGAUUUUAUUAUAGUAGAACUUUUAUGUAGUGUGAGAAUUUGAGUAGCCAACCAUGCUGCUUGGUUUCCAUCUCAAAAUGUUCUCAAAAUUGUAUCAGGAAUCUCUAUAGCAUUCAGUUCUUAGACUUUAAGGAACACGUAUGGACAGUCAUUAUUUUCUAUAUGCUCAGAAAUGGCUCUCGGAGAAAAUGAUUAAAUAAACACUUUUGAAAUAAUUGUAACCAACUUUAUGCUAAUACGCCAUAGCUUCUCUAUUCUAGCUGCAUUUCUUUUAUACUAUUAUUUGGCUAUUAUUUUUACAAACGUUGGACAUUUUCUUUAAAAGUGUAUUUCUGGGGUUGAUAGACGGUCGCCAGGAUAGCAGAGUAACAGGUCCUCAUUGCGUAUUGGACUGCACCGGACACCACACAGACUGAAAGAUUCCUAAAGAUUUCAUAUGGAGCCGAGUGACCCCCUUCAUCCAUCUGACCACCGGACUAUGUGGCUUACCCACCUCGCCCUGCUGCUGCUCCGGCUGGCGGUGUCCGCCGAGGGGCUCUCCACCUGCCAGUCAUUCAGCCUGGAUGAUCAGAAAUCCAAGCGCAUCGAGGCCGUCCGCGGGCAGAUCCUCAGCAAGCUCCGCUACCGGAGCCCACCCGAGCCCCCCGCACCUAGCCCACAGCCCGAGGCCGUACCCGCUGAGGUAAUGCUACUCUACAACAGCACCAGAGAGCUGUUGAAGGAGCGUGCGCGUCAGUCCGAUUCCGCGUGCGACCGAGAGAGCAGCGAGGAGGAUUAUUACGCAAAGGAGGUUCAGCGCAUAGACAUGCUUAGGCAGCGCACGGACACAAAUGCAGUGAACCCUCCAGUCCCCAGCCCAUAUUACAGAGUGGUGGGGUUCGAUGUGAGUGGUGUGGACAGGAACUCCAGCACCCUGGUCAAAGCUGAGUUCAGAAUCUACAGGACACCAAACCCCCAGGCCCGCACCUCAGAGCAGAGAGUAGAGAUCUAUCAGGUGAUAAAACCAGAAGAGGCAACAGGUCCCUCGCAGAGAUACAUCAACUCCAGAACGGUUCGCCCACGGACCAAGGGGGCGUGGCUCUCGGUGGAUGUCACAGACACUGUGACGGACUGGCUGGCUCAUAGAGAGAGGAACCUGGGUUUGAAGCUGGGUGUUCACUGUCCGUGCUGCACCUUCGUUCCCUCCACCAACAGCAUCGUGUUCAAUAAGAGCGAGGAGCUGGAGGCGCGCUUCGCUGGUCUGGAUGAUGAGCUGCUUCAGCAGCAGUUGCGGAGGCCAGGGUCAGGGCUGGCUAAGGGCCAGGUAGAUUUUAGUACCAAGACCCCCCACCUCAUCCUCACCUUGCUGCCCAGUUACAGGGUCGACAACCCAGGCAAGAAGAGCCGCAAAAAGAGGGCCACCGCAGACACCACCACCUGCUCCAGGAACUCCGACGUGGACUGCUGUCUGCGAUCGCUCUACAUCGACUUCCGCCGGGACCUGAACUGGAAGUGGAUCCACGAGCCGAAGGGCUACAAGGCCAAUUUCUGCUCUGGCAGCUGCCCAUACGUCUGGAGCGCUGACAGCCACUACAACAUGAUCCUGCCGCUGUAUAACAAACUGAACCCUGAGGCGUCGGCAUCUCCGUGCUGCGUACCUCAGGACCUGGAGCCUCUGACCAUCGUUUACUUCAUGGGCCGAACGCCCAAGGUAGAGCAGCUCUCCAACAUGGUGGUCAAGUCCUGCAAGUGCCGCUGACGCAGGGAGCCCAGCGGCGGGACACGAGGAGGGACUACAACAAACUACCACUUUUGGUCCUCAAACAAAAAGGACAGCCUGACUAUCUCUAGAUAUUUAACCCUUCAUUUCACUAUGACACAUUUUACAGAGUCUGUCACAGAUUAUUUUUAAACUCACAAGCAUGAAACUCUGAAAAUCGUCGUCAGCAAUGGGUCUUUUCCCCACUUUCAUAAGGUUGAGAAUAUUGUAAAUAUUGAAUUCCUUAAUAGCUUUAAAAUCUGAUAAAGUAUUUUGAUUGGAAAUACAAUGCGUUCUUGUUGCAUAAGACUCUGAUCUCUACCAAGUUGACUGAAGGACCCAGUAACUCCACAUAAGACCUCUGUUACUUAAGAUCUGUGCAUAUUUACUGAAUGGAGAUGAUUUUGAUUUGAACUAGCUUUGCUUCUCUUUCUUUCAGACCAAAGGAGAGGGAGAGAAGGAGAUGGAAAGGGGCUGGGAGGGAGGGAGAGAGAAGAGUCAGAGAGAGAGAGCGAGAGAGAGCGAAGAGUCAGAGAGCGAGAGAGAGCGAGAGAGAGCAAGAAGUCAGAGAGCGAAGAGUCAGAGAGCGAGAGAGAGCGAAGAGUCAGAGAGCGAGAGAGAGCGAGAGCGAGAAGAGCGAGAGCGAGAAGAGCGAGAGCGAGAAGAGCGAGAGAGAGCGAGCGAGAAGAGCGAGAGAGAGCGAGCGAGCGAGAAGAGUCAGAGAGAGCGAGCGAGCGAGAAGAGUCAGAGCGAGCGAGAAGAGUCAGAGCGAGCGAGCGAGCGAGCGAGAAGAGUCAGAGCGAGCGAGCGAGAAGAGUCAGAGCGAGCGAGAAGAGUCAGAGCGAGCGAGCGAGCGAGAAGAGUCAGAGCGAGCGAGAAGAGUCAGAGCGAGCGAGCGAGAAGAGUCAGAGCGAGCGAGCGAGCGAGAAGAGUCAGAGCGAGCGAGAAGAGUCAGAGCGAGCGAGAAGAGUCAGAGCGAGCGAGAAGAGUCAGAGCGAGCGAGAAGAGUCAGAGAGAGCGAGCGAGCGAGAAGAGUCAGAGAGAGCGAGCGAGAAGUCAGAGCGAGCGAGAAGAGUCAAAGCGAGCGAGAAGAGUCAGAGCGAGCGAGAAGAGUCAGAGCGAGCGAGCGAGAAGAGUCAGAGCGAGCGAGCGAGAAGAGUCAGAGCGAGCGAGCGAGAAGAGUCAGAGCGAGCGAGCAGAGUCAGAGAGAGCGAGCGAGCAGAGUCAGAGAGAGCGAGCGAGAGAGAAGAGUCAGAGAGAGCGAGCGAGAGAGAAGAGUCAGAGAGAGCGAGCGAGAGAGAAGAGUCAGAGAGAGCGAGCGAGAGAGAAGAGUCAGAGAGAGCGAGCGAGAGAGAAGAGUCAGAGAGAGCGAGCGAGAGAGCGAGCGAGAAGAGUCAGAGUGAGCGAGCGAGAGAGAAUAGUCAGAGAGAGAGAGCGAGCGAGAAGAGUCAGAGUGAGCGAGCGAGAGAGAAGAGUCAGAGAGAGCGAGCGAGCGAGAGAGAAGAGUCAGAGCGAGAGAGAAGAGUCAGAGCGAGAGAGAGAAGAGUCAGAGCGAGAGAGAGAAGAGUCAGAGCGAGAGAGAGAAGAGUCAGAGCGAGAGAGAGAAGAGUCAGAGCGAGAGAAAGAGGCAGAGAGAAGAGAAGAGGCAGAGAGAGAGAGAGAGAGAGAGAGAGAGAAGAGAAGAGGCAGAGAGAGAGAGAGAGAGAGAGAGAGAGAAGAGAAGAGGCAGAGAGAGAGAGAGAGAGAGAGAGAGAGAGAAGAGAAGAGGCAGAGAGAGAGAGAAGAGAAGAGGCAGAGAGAGAGAAGAGAAGAGGCAGAGAGAGAGAGAAAAGAGGCAGAGAGAGAGAAGAGAAGAGGCAGAGAGAGAGAGAAAAGAGGCAGAGAGAGAGAGAGAGAGAGAGAGAGAGAGAGAGAGAGAGAGAGAGAGAAGAGACAGAGAGAGAGAAGAGACAGAGAGAGAGAAGAGACAGAGAGAGAGAAGAGGCUGAGAGAGAGAAGAGGCUGAGAGAGGAGGGAGCGAAGAUGCUGAGAGAGGAGGGAGAGAGAAAAGAGGCUGAGAGAGGAGGCUGAGGGAGAGAGGAUAGAGAGAGAGAAAGAGAGGAGAGGGAAAGCAAAAGAAAGUAGGGUAGAGAGUGAGGUUGUGUGUCCAGGCAUUAAGGGCCUCCAGCCAGCUCUGCGGUCGAGGGCUGAAAUCUGCCGCCGUAAACAGGAUGUGAAAGAUUUCCAGACAUCGACCACUCACGCCAAAUUUAAACCCAUUUGUGGUCGGAGCAGAAAGAGGGAAGAAAACAGAAAGAGGCUUUGAAGGGAGAGACGUGGGCUCAUAGGCCCAAUUUGGAACACAUCAGCUUUGGGCGGGGGUAGCUAUUUUGCAGCCUUAGCAAAUUUCUAACAAUCAGGUCUGUCAUUAUUGGGCUUUUCACAGCUAUAACCACACUUAUCUGUCAUGUACAUUUACGUCUUGAUUGCUGUUGCAUGUAUAAUAUGUUAGGUCGUGUUGUUAACAUUGAUCCAGUCAUCGAAGUUUGGCCAUGUUAAUCACUUUUGAUAAGAGGGCUCAACUCAAAAUAAGUCCAUCCUGAGGCUCAACUUAUAUUUGGGCCUUCUGGUAUUUCAGGUAGGCCUGUGUGUGUGUGCGCGCAUGAGAAAGAGAGAGAGAGAGCAAGAGAGGGGGAGGGAAGGCUAGGGAGAUAUACUGUAGAGUGCUGUAUGUUUAAUUCUAUACUCUGGACUCCUGCGGUUGACACUGAACCUAGUGAGAAACAGAGUGGGUCGGCAGUCAGCCGCCAAGCCGGUCCGUUUUAUGUGCCAAACACAGAAAGGUGAUGAAAAUGUGAUACUGCCUAGAGACUUGAAACAGUAACCCAACUGGGCCUCCAUUAAUCCUCUUCUCAUCCUCCCUCAGUCUUUCUGGGGAAAGGACGUGUGGCCUCUGUAGGGGGAGGAGGAUGUUAGGGGGGCUGCAGUAAGGUCCCCCUCCCCCCCAGCAUCUGUUAGUCCUUUCCACCUAACCACCCCUUACUAUAUUCAACCUGCACUUAUCCCACAUUAACACUCCUCUGGGUGUCUGAGUGUGUGUGUGUCUGACUCAGUGACCUUCAGAGAGUGUGUAGUGUGUGUGUGCGCGUUUGUAGUUUGCGUGUGCUGUACACGUACGAUCUGACCUCCCUUCCACCCCACGUCUUCCCCAAGGCCUCUCCAUGUAUUAUGUCAUCUCAGGUAGGUUUGAUGGAACUUUCCUUUAUAUAUCCCGAGAAACAGAAUGCCGUCAAAACAAAAGUUAUGGGUCAUUCCACGAAAUGAGUCCCUUUUGAAUCCCUUUGAUAUUUAAAAAAAGGCCCAAUGCAGCCAUUUUUAUCUCAAUAUCAAAUCAUUUCUGUGUAACAAUUACAUACCUUAUUGUGAUUGUUUCUUUUUGACUAUUUUGAUUGACAACAAACGGCUUUUUAGCAAAGAGCAAUUUUCCUAGCAAGAAUUUUUCUAGGACUGUCAGAGUGGGGAGGGGAAAACUGAAAACUAGCCGUUAUUGGUAGAGAGGUUUGGAACUCUUUCUUAUUGGUCUAUUAACUAAUUUACCGACUGGUGUUGUCACCAGACAGGCCAAAACUCCAUCAAACCAAAACAGGCAAAAAUGUCACAUUUAUUUUCAAACAGCUCUUACACUUAAAGGGCAUUAUCAUCCUUUAUCAUGCUAGUGUGGAAAUAUCUAUAAAACUUUUUGGGGAAGUUUGUAAUCAAUUGCCACUGCCUGUUGCACACAAAAAGCUUACAUACCUCCUCCAGCCAGUGAGGAUUUACAGUUAUUUAAGAUGAAAUGGUCAACCCUGUUACUUUAUUUGGCACUUAAUAGGCACUUACUAAAGUCAUUUCUUUUAUUCAACCUCUUGAAAAACAUAUUUUUUAUGACAAUGUUAAAAUUAUGUAAAAUAAAAUGUUUUACACCAAAUUACACUUCCCAAAAGGGACUCCUUUUGUGGAAUGGCCCUUAUUCAACCAGAGCACUAUAUAUCCCACAUGCUGAAGGACACUGGGAUAUACAGAGAAAUGGAUCUCUGAAGCCAGAUCUAACAUGGUUAUUCCAAAAAGUCCUUUAGUCAGUGAUUUAAAAACCAUGGCUGAGGUUUGGGCUGAGCUCCAGGAGCAGACAGCACAGCAGGCUACAGCUAUGCAGAGGAGAUGUUGUACUACACUUACCAGCCAGGAGAUGGUGCUAUUUCUCAACCCAGUGAGUCUGACUUGACUGAGCUUAGACAGUUUAUAUAUUCUAUAUCUGUGGUGCUGAAUACAUGCAUUGGUUUUCAUACAAAUAUAUCUCAAUGACGACUGUGGUCCUCAGUCAGUGAGAUCUAGUAUAUUGUUGGCCUUUAUCCCCAGUACAUAAUAUAAGUACAUCUGAGCUUUGAGGUCUGCUUCUCCUGUGAACAAUAGUAAUAAAGACCAGCCUUACUAUCCCCCUUCAUGACCUGUGCCUGUCAGUUUGUUCAUCAGUCUCUGAGAUGGGAG
rnacentral:lncRNA from 1 species